rnacentral:sRNA from 1 species
AACUAUUUGAUAUUGAUAUAUUAUCAUGUGGGAGCAUAAUUUCCUAAGCACUAGCAUUUUUAAACCUUGAUAGAGAGUACAGACGUUUUGUCAUCUCACAAGUGCCACUGAAGAGCUGGCAUCCUCAAGGGGCGAAGCUUAGCUAUGUCUAGUGUUUUUGACUACGCUGCGUAAUUUGUACAGUACAAUCUUAUUGAACCGUAUGGGAAAAGAUGGCGUAUAUAUUGAGUGUAACUAUCUCCUUGAAAAUAUCCAAAAUAUAAGAUGUAGGAAUGAUGAUGAAUCAUUACAUCUCUCAAAACAGAUUUAGAGAAGACCGUGG